GCUAGUAUUUGAAACCCACCACGUAACAAAAAUUGAUUUUUGUUUUCAAAGCCCCUGUAAUACCAAUUGUUCGCACCAAGACCGUUAGUGUAUGUGAUAGUAACGUUACAUUGAGCGUAAAUCAAUCUAGUGGAAGUAAUGAAAGCUUACGAUGGGCGAAGAAUGGAGAAUAUAACGAAGAAUGGGAUGGGCUGACGGAGAUUUUAUUCGAAAUUACUACAUUGAAUGAUUCUGGGAUUUACGAAUGUUAUUUAAAUGGCAGCCGGAAUGAAGGAAAACACGCUUUUAUGCAGCUGAUAGUAAGAGAAUGUCCACAUAACAAAUGGUCUCCGCCGAAUUGUACUAUGGAGUGUGACGUUUGCUACAAUGGAGGGGUGUGCGAUACAUACAUCGGGACCUGCAUAUGUCUUUCGGGAUUUCAUGGAAGUAGAUGCGAAAAAUCUGCUGGUGGUAAUAAAUUUGGACGUGAUGGUAA